rnacentral:rRNA from 1 species
AUUGAACGCUGGCGGCAUGCUUUACACAUGCAAGUCGAACGGUAACAGGCCUUCGGGUGCUGACGAGUGGCGAACGGGUGCGUAAUGCAUCGGAACGUGCCCAGAGGUGGGGGAUAACGCAGCGAAAGCUGUGCUAAUACCUCAUGUGAUCUGAGGAUGAAAGCGGGGGACCAGGCAGCAAUGUUUGGCCUCGCGCCUUUGGAGCGGCCGAUGUCAGAUUAGGUAGUUGGUGGGGUAAAGGCCUACCAAGCCGACGAUCUGUAGCUGGUCUGAGAGGACGACCAGCCACACUGGGACUGAGACACGGCCCAGACUCCUACGGGAGGCAGCAGUGGGGAAUUUUGGACAAUGGGCGCAAGCCUGAUCAAGCAAUGCCGCGUGCGGGAAGAAGGCCUUCGGGUUGUAAACCGCUUUUGUACGGAACGAAAAGGCUCUGGCGAAUACCUGGGGCUGAUGACGGUACCGGAAGAAUAAGCACCGGCUAACUACGUG